UCAUACAAAUGAAGGUGCGAGGGCUGUCGCUGGCCUUUAAAAGGUUGUGCACGCCCGAGUGCUCUCACACACACACAUCCAUUUUCACCCCUUUGUGCAUCACCGCGUGGGGGUCCCCUGAAAGGGGGAGGCCCACGUUUUUUUCUUCUUCACACAAACCUCAAAGUUGUUUAGAAUGUACUUUUCUUUUUUUGCGGUGAUACGCAAUCAAUA
rnacentral:misc_RNA from 1 species